GUAAUCAGGGGUAGCGGGGAGUGUGAUGAGUGACACCCACUCUAGUUGAUUUCUUUGUUAGGGGCUAAUGAGACUUUAGAGCUUAUAUUUAUAUUGUUUUAAGACUGUGUUGGAUUUAUCAUUAUGGAGUUCAGACUUUAUUAUCCAUAUUGAUAUUUUGUUUGUUAAAUCAUUAUAAUAUUUCCGAAUAAAUUUAGAAUCAUUUAAUCAUUUAGCCCUAUUGUAAAAGUGGGGUGUUACAUUUUGGCAUCAGAGCUUAGGUUAUGAUUCUGUAGACUAGCCUUAGGGCAUUUGACCUGUGAGUUUUGGGUUGACUUCGUAUGGGUAGAAGUAAGAUUUUGAUAUACCUGCGAUAUUUACUCGAUAAUAUUCACUAUAUAUGUGUUCACAUAAUAAAUGUUGCAGGAUGCCGCCUAGAAG
rnacentral:lncRNA from 1 species